ensembl:lncRNA
ACAGCUUUAAGUUGUUAACCCAUUUCUUGUUCCCUGAAAAAGGACUUUUUUGGGUACCUGGAAAAAUUGGAGCAUUCUAAAACUUUUGACUGCUAGCGUAGCUCUCUGAAGAAGGCCCUUAGAUGUGCUUGAAAGCCUUGAAAACCAACUGUACAGGAAAUCAGUCAUGCACCAUCCACUGCUGUCGCCAUGGCAACACAGAGGGGGAAAUCCAUUCUCCGUCACCGUCACCACCCCCCACCCCUUUCUCCCUCAUCCUUUCUUUUGUCUUGUUGAACGAGGUGCAGCUCAGUUUUCGGAGCAUUUUCGCGCCUUGUUUUUGGUGAAUUUUAGCAGAUUUAACGGCGUCGUGUCCCUCUGCUCGCCUCCUCUGUGACGCCCUCCAUGCAUCGGGACCAUUUGAGCCGAUUGUUUGAGAGCAUUAGGUGACGGCGAGUCUCCAACAGCGGCGGUGACCUCUCCGUAAAUCCCAUGGGGCAUCGGGACAGGACAGGCGGGGCGGCUCCAGCAGCAGCAGCAGCUGCCUGGAGGAGGCAGAUGGUCACAAAUCAGAAAUGAAAAUCCAGGCCCUCCUCCCCCUCCACAACGUCUGCAAUGAUAACCCCACCCUCACACACAGACAAGCACAGGGUUUCUGCAGGGCAUUAAAAAGCAUUAAUAGUCAUUAAGUUAAUUUUGCGAAAGUUAAGGCCUUAAAUGGCAUUAAAAAUCAUUACAUUUGAUUCUCAGUGGCGUUAAAAAUUCUUUCUGCAGUUUUUUGGCAGUUUUUCUGCCAAAAACUGCACGUUUUUAACCCUUGUGUCGUCCUGCGGGUCAAAUUGACUCGUUUUAAAGUUUGAAAAUGUGGAAAAAAAAAUUUUUUUACAGUGAAACUUCUGAUGUCGACAUUUUCAACAUUAUUGGGAAAUUUUUUUAACAUUUUUUGGUGGAAAAAAAAUGUUAUAAAUGCUUCUUUAAGGACAUUCACAAAAAAAAAUUUGUGAAUUUUCUUAAAGAAAAUAUUAGAACCUUUACUGAUAUAUAUAUGUAAUCACUUUAGAUAUUUUUAGGAUUUUUUAGAAGAUUAUUACUCAUUUUUUGAAAAUAUUUACAAGAAUGUUCUUGCCAAAUUUUAGGGCUUUUUUUAAAAUAAAACUUUUAAAGGAAACUUUAAAGGAAUUAUUGGAAUUUUCUUCCUGAAGGUUUUGCAAAUUUUCAGAAAUUUGGAGAAUUUUUUUGCUGAAUUUUUGGAUUUUUUUUAGCAAAAAUGGCUAGAAAAUGUGGAUUUCAGAGAAUGACUGCAGCCCGUGGGUGGUCAGGGGUGGUUUCCGGAUUCAGAAAUAGUGAAAUGAGGGGACAGUUUUCAUAUAAAAAUCAUCUUUUACAAAAAACAAACCCAUGUAAUUUGUUGAGUUCGCGGUCGUGGCAUUAAAAUUUUUACAGUAUAGCAUUAAAAUGGCAUUAAAAAGCAUUAACUUUGACUGGCUGAUUUCUGCAGAAACCCUGAAACGGUGCAUGUACAGGAGCGUUCCGACAUCCAUCACCCGCCUCCUGCUCACCUAAAAUGACACCGUCCGGGAGUGAAGGCCUUGCUAAACAUGCGCCACAGGAUUGCUCUCAGCUUUUAAGGCUACAAAGAAACCCUUGAGGAUCACAAAACCACUUUAAAUGUUACUUCGUGGUUCCUGAAAAACCAACAGAAUGUCAACGUCACACUCAAACACAGCAGAAAAGGCCAGUUUCUGCCUGUGAAGUCUCCACAUCUGCCCAUGUUCUCAUAGAGAUGGAUUAGCAGCUCUUAGUAAACCAGCCUAUUAACCCAAACAGCUGCACCGACAUCAAAGGCACAAAAGGUUCAGAGAUGAUCCGCAGAGCCGAUAAUAAAACACAGUAAUCAGAUUACAAAUAAAC